rnacentral:misc_RNA from 1 species
GAUGAAGAACGCAGCGAAAUGCGACAAGUAAUGUGAAUUGCAGAAUUCAGUGAAUCAUCGAAUCUUUGAACGCACAUUGCGCCCGCCAGUAUUCUGGCGGGCAUGCCUGUCCGAGCGUCAUUUCAACCCUCGCGCCCAUCUGGGCUGCGGUGUUGGGGACCGGCCUGCCCCCCCGGGGCGCGCCGCCCCCCAAAUUCAGUGGCGGUCUCGCUGCAGCCUCCCUUGCGUAGUAGCACACCUCGCACCGGAGCGCAGCGCGGCCACGCCGUAAAACCCCCGACCCCCAUGAGUUUGACCUCGGAUCAGGUAGGAAUACCCGCUGAACUUAAGCAUAUCAAUAAGCGGAGGA